AUUGAACGCUGGCGGCAGGCCUAACACAUGCAAGUCGAGCGGUAGCACAGGGGAGCUUGUCCCCUGGGUGACGAGCGGCGGACGGGUGUGUAAUGUCUGGGAAACUGCCUGAUGGAGGGGGAUAACUACUGGAAACGGUAGCUAAUACCGCAUAACGUCGCAAGACCAAAGAGGGGGAGUUUCGGGCCUUUUGCCAUUAGAUGUGCCCAGAUGGGAUUAGCUAGUAGGUGGGGUAAUGGCUCACCUAGGCGACGAUCCCUAGCUGGUCUGAGAGGAUGACCAGCCACACUGGAACUGAGACACGGUCCAGACUCCUACGGGAGGCAGCAGUGGGGAAUAUUGCACAAAGGGCGCAAGCCUGAUGCAGCCAUGCCGCGUGUGUGAAGAAGGCCUUCGGGUUGUAAAGCACUUUCAGCGGGGAGGAAGGUGAUGAGCUUAAUACGUUCAUCAAUUGACGUUACUCGCAGAAGAAGCACCGGCUAACUCCGUG
rnacentral:rRNA from 1 species